GGAGAUCAGCGCUAGAGACAACUUUUGGGGUCAAAGCAGUCAAGACCAACAUAACCCCUUAAGGUAAGAGAGUGUUUGUGGCCUCCCAGCACCAUAACAACAUAAUUUAUAUGAAGUUACUAUGGUGCCUAAAGUGGUUCUUUUAGCCUUAUAACUUUUGUGGAUCAAAAUACCCACUUAUAUAGCUGGCAAUAAUAGGAUACCUUAGGGUCUGCGUAGGCAGCAAGGAAGUAUUAAUGGUGGAAAAGGUCUGUUUCUAAAAAGCAUGGAAACAAUGAGGAAUGGGUAGGACGCAUGAGCAAGAACAAAGGAGAGAAAUUGGAGUAGAAUAGCACUGGGUCUAUAAUGUCUGGGCAUCAGGAUAACACAGUACUGCAAUGGACAUGCUCGACUGGGGCUUUAUAAUUUCAGCCUGACCAUAGGAACUGCUCCUUCCUGUGGGUGGUGCGUCUCCUGUGUACAUGAAGGGCACUGAGCAUACCAGCUUUAUUUUGAUGCACACAUGUGAUAUCAAUCAAGUCACCUGUGACACUGCGUCCUUGUGAUCACCAAUGAUGAUAAAAUGACACCACCAUCACAGAGAGCAUGGGAUACUUUUUUUUCUGCUCAUC